ensembl:lncRNA
UAGACACAGAACGGAGGUUUUCAAGUCACAUCUGACUAAAAGCUCAGCAGGGCGAAAAAGAAAGAGGGUGAAGGAGGAAAAUAAGGGAGGAAGUAAGGAAAGCAAAAUGGAGGAAAAGGAAGACAAAGGAAAGGAAAGCAGGACCAAAUGACGGAAGGCUGGAUUCAAAACUGGAAGGAGAGUGAUGGAUGCUGAUGGAGACCCGCGGAGCAGUGAUUAUGGAUCGAGGAAGGACAGAGACAGACAGACAGACGGACAGACAGACAGGAGGGACACUGAGAAAGAGAGAGCACAUUGCAGCCGGCGAACGGUUAACGAAAGAAUGGAAUCGGUCUGUUUUUUUGGGGGGGGGGAUGGAGCUGUUGCGCCACUGAGCGGUGAAAUGUUUAACUCUACCGCCACCGAGGUAAAAAUAUAUCAAAUGCUUCAAACUACACAAAGACACAACAUAAAAUAAAAAAA